UCAAGCAAUUACAGGUCUAUGGCGGAUGCCUGGGAGCUGCAAGGCGAUGAAGGUCGUGAUAAGCUGCGAAAAGCUGCGGUGAGGAGCACAUAUCCGUUGACCCGCAGAUGACCGAAUGGGGUAACCCACCAUGCGAAUGGUAUCUGGAUGGCUGAAUAAAAUAGGCCACAGAGGCGACACUGGGUGAAGUGAACCAUCUAAGUAACCCGGGAAAGGAAAUCAAUAGAGAUUCCCCAAGUAGCGGCGAGCGAACGGGGAUGAGCCCAAACCGCUUUAAGCGGGGUUGUAGGACUGCGAUAUGAGUUUGUAAAAACCGAAAGGUAGGAGAACCGCAUGGAAAGGCGGGCCGUAGCGCGUGAGAGCCGCGUAUCCGAAACCGGACGGACUCUAGCAGAAUCCUGAGUACGGCGGGGCACGGGAAACCCAGCCGGAAUCCGGGUCGACCACGAUCCAAGGCUAAAUACUAGGCAGCUACCGAUAGCGGAGAAGUACCGUGAGGGAAAGGCGAAAAGAACCCCGGUGAGGGGAGUGAAAUAGAACCUGAAACCAUAGACUGACAAGAUGUCACAGCCCGCGAGGGUGGUGGCGUGUCUUUUGUAGAAUAAACCUGCGAGUUACGGUAUGCAGCGAGGUUAAGGGAUGGGAGUCCCGGAGCCGGAGCGAAAGCGAGUCUGAACAGGGCGCCAAGUUGCAUGCCGUAGACCCGAAGCCAAGGUGAUCUUAUCAUGGGCAGGCUGAAGGCAGGGUAAAACCUGUUGGAGGGCCGAACAGUAAUCUGUUAAAAAAGGUAGUGAUGACCUGUGAUAAGGAGUGAAAGGCUAAACAAACCUGGAGAUAGCUGGCUCUCCCCGAAAUGCCUUUAGGGACAGCCUCAUACAAAGAUGCCGGAGGUAAAGCACUGGAUGGGAGCGGGGAUGUCAAAGUCUACCAAUUCCAAUCAAACUCUGAAUGCCGGCAUCCAACGUAUGGGAGUGAGACUGUGUGCGCCAAGGUUCAUAGUCAAGAGGGAAACAGCCCAAACCGUCAGCUAAGGUCCCGAAAUAGUGCUAAGUGUUAAAUGAAGUCCGGAUGCACAGACAGCCAGGAGGUUGGCUCAGAAGCAGCCAUUCCUUGAAAGAGUGCGUAACAGCUCACUGGUCGAGCAUGCGGGCGCAGACAAUGUAACGGGGCUAAGCAUUAUACCGAAGCUGCGGAUCUUGCGCAAAGGCGCAAGGUGGUAGGGGAGCAUGCCGUCAACCGGCGAAGGCGGAUCCGCGAGGGCCGCUGGAGGAAACGGCAGAGAGAAUGCAGGCAUAAGUAACGAAAAGACGGGUGUGAUUCCCGUCCGCCGAAAACAUAAGGUUUCCAGGGUAAAGGCAAUCUGCCCUGGGUAAGUCGGAGCCUAAGUCCAGGCCGAAAGGCGUAGGCGAUGGUAAUCCGGUUCAAAAUCCGGAACCUCCGGCAUUUCGAUGCCACGACGCAUGAGGCGACGUCCGGCGGGAGAACGGUAGUUCCCGUCCAAGCAUUGAGCCGUCAAGGGAGGGGGUUAAAUGAUCCUCCCAGGCGAGAUGUGACAGCGAGCUGAGAGAAAGUCGAAGCGAAGCGGGCAGAGUCAAGGUGCCGAGAAAGAGUGGCUAGGCAAGGUGCCGGAGUCCGUACCGUAAACGGACACACGUAUGUAGGAUGAGUAAUCUAAGGCGCUCGAGCGACCUCGCGUUAAGGAACUCGGCAAAAUGCGCACGUAACUUCGGAAGAAGUGCGGCUCCUGUUUGAAAGGAUAAGGAGCGGCAGAAAGCAGGCCCAGGCGACUGUUUAUCAAAAACACAGCCAUCUGCGAACCAGCAAUGGGACGUAUAGGUGGUGACACCUGCCCGGUGCCGGAAGGUUAAGGGGAGAAGUCAGCCGCAAGGCGAAGCCUCGAACCGAAGCCCCGGUAAACGGCGGCCGUAACUAUAACGGUCCUAAGGUAGCGAAAUUCCUUGUC
rnacentral:rRNA from 1 species